UACGGAGGGGGCUAGCGUUGUUCGGAAUUACUGGGCGUAAAGGGCUCGUAGGCGGUUUGUCGCGUCGGGAGUGAAAACACUGGGCUUAACCCAGUGCUUGCUUUCGAUACGGGCAGACUAGAGGUAUGCAGGGGAGAACGGAAUUCCUGGUGUAGCGGUGAAAUGCGCAGAUAUCAGGAGGAACACCGGUGGCGAAGGCGGUUCUCUGGGCAUGAUCUGACGCUGAGGAGCGAAAGUGUGGGGAGCGAACAGG
rnacentral:rRNA from 1 species